rnacentral:rRNA from 1 species
AUUGAACGCUGGCGGCAGGCUUAACACAUGCAAGUCGAGCGGGGAAGUAUAGCUUGCUAUACGACCUAGCGGCGGACGGGUGAGUAAUGCUUAGGAAUCUGCCUAUUAGUGGGGGACAACAUUCCGAAAGGAAUGCUAAUACCGCAUACGCCCUACGGGGGAAAGCAGGGGAUCUUCGGACCUUGCGCUAAUAGAUGAGCCUAAGUCAGAUUAGCUAGUUGGUGGGGUAAAGGCCUACCAAGGCGACGAUCUGUAGCGGGUCUGAGAGGAUGAUCCGCCACACUGGGACUGAGACACGGCCCAGACUCCGACGGGAGGCAGCAGUGGGGAAUAUUGGACAAUGGGCGAAAGCCUGAUCCAGCCAUGCCGCGUGUGUGAAGAAGGCCUUUUGGUUGUAAAGCACUUUAAGCGAGGAGGAGGCUACCGAGAUUAAUACUCUUGGAUAGUGGACGUUACUCGCAGAAUAAGCACCGGCUAACUCUGUGCCAGCCGCCGCGGUAAAAC